rnacentral:rRNA from 1 species
CCAAUAGCGUAUAUUAAAGUUGUUGCAGUUAAAAAGCUCGUAGUUGAAUUUCGGGGUCAGUAGGUUGGUCAUGCCACUGGUAUGUACUGGUCUCACUGAUUCCUCCUUCCUGAUGAACUGUAAUGCCAUUAAUUUGGUGUUGCAGGGAAUCUGGACUGUUACUUUGAAAAAAUUAGAGUGUUUAAAGCAGGCUAACGCCUGAAUACAUUAGCAUGGAAUAAUGAAAUAGGACGUUCGAUCCUAUUUUGUUGGUUUCUAGGAUUGACGUAAUGAUUAAUAGGGAUAGUUGGGGGCAUUAGUAUUCAAUUGUCAGAGGUGAAAUUCUUGGAUUUAUUGAAGACUAACUACUGCGAAAGCAUUUGCCAAGGAUGUUUUCAUUAAUCAAGAACGAAAGUUAGGGGAUCGAAGACGAUCAGAUACCGUCGUAGUCUUAACCACAAACUAUGCCGACUAGGGAUCGGAUGAUGUUAAUUUUUUAAUGACUCAUUCGGCGCCUUACG